rnacentral:misc_RNA from 1 species
AUCCCGAGUGCCGGUGCCAGAAGCAACCAUUCACGAACACCGCGGCCCGGAACCGCGGCAAGACGAUGUCCGGCGUUCCGGGCAGGUCCCUGACGUGCAGCCGAAACCUCAGCCCAUGCGCGUGCAGGUAGCGCCUCACGAUCAGCUCGGGCUUCGUAUCCCGUCCGCUCAUGUGCGACAUCAUUCGACUGCGUGUCGCCGGAUCGACGAUGUCGGGCAUCUCUCUACAAACCCGCCGCUGGGCCGAGAUCGGGGCCAAUCUCGGCUACUCCGUGGAGGAGAUUGCGGAGACGUUCCCGAUACCGGUCCGAGAUCACGCGGAAUGGCACGUAGAUCCUCAGGUGGGCCGCCAGUGGCUGGGCAUUAGGCGCUUGACGAAGCUCUCCGUCAUCCACUCCCUCGGCUUCGUGACGAGUCAGGCGACGGACGCGACCUCCGCCUGUCCGAUUGUUCCCCCUUGGUCCGAGCCCACGCUGACCGGAGCUUGGACCGCGCCACCUGCCGGACAAGCGCGAUGGCGAGGUGCUCGAUGACGGGUACGACAACGGAGUUGCCGAACUGUCGGUAGGCCUGGGUGUCGGACACGGGGAUAGCGAACUGAUCGUCAUAGCCCAUGAUCCGGGCGCACUCUCGGGGCGUCAGACGUCGAGGACGCACGCCGAACUUCGGCACCCAGUUCCCGUCGCUGUCGCGGUCCAGGAUCCGGAGCCCCUCGGGAUGGAAGAGGAUCUCCGAGCCAUCCUUGUGGUACCGGGCGCUAAGCGUUCGGGCGACGUCGUCAGGGCCGUCGAGUCCGAAGCCGAAGCCGUUCCCGGCGCGCCGGUGCUUGUUCGCAUAGUCGACAAGGUAUCCCCAGAGAUGGUCGCUGAGGGUGUACCGGUCGUCGACGUCCGAGUCCAGGAUCUUGCCGAGUACGGGCUGAACAGUAUUGGGCGGAUCGGGAAACUCGAAACCCUCACCAUUGAGGAAGUCCCGGUGAAUGCACACCAUGAAGGUUCGCUCACGGUGCUGCGGUACCCAGGGCUGGGCGUCAAUGACGCGGUGUCGGAAGAUGUAGUCACGGGCUUCGAUGCUGGCACGAAUCACCCGGAAUGUAUUGCCCCGAUCGUGGGUCGUCAGGUUCUUGACGUUCUCUAGGAACAGGAUCGGCGGAGGCAGCUCGGCCUCGUCCACCAGCCGCAUGAUCUCGAAGAACAGAUUGCCGCUCUUCGCAUCGUCGAACCCAUGCUGGCGGCCCAGACUCAGCUUCUUGCUGACGCCUGCGAUGCUGAAGGGCUGGCACGGAAAGCCCGCGGCGAGGAUCUGGUAGGGCGGCAGCUCGGACGUUGUGACCUCGUGGAUGUCCCUCGCCGGCACAUCGUGCGGCCGCCCGUCCGGGCCGACCUCGAGGAAGUUGGCGUUGUAGGUCCGUAUGGCGUGCGGAUCGAACUCCACGGUGUACAAGCACCUGCCACCGGCGCGCUCCAAGCCCUUCCGGAUGCCGCCGAUCCCGGCGAACAAGUCGAUGAAGUCGAAGGUUGGCUCUGGCGGUAGCAGCGGUCCGGCAGACUGCUGGGGGCGACCCGCCCGGCGCCUGAU